rnacentral:rRNA from 1 species
AGAGUUUGAUCAUGGCUCAGGACGAACGCUUGCGGCGUGCCUAAGAAAUGCAAGUCGAACGGUGUGGCAAUACAUAGUGGCGAACGGUCGCGUAACACGUAAGCAACCUGCCCGAAAGUGGGGGACAACAUCCCGAAAGGGGUGCUAAUACCGCAUGUGGUUGUUUUCUCGCAUGAGAGAACAUCUAAAGCCUUGUGCGCUUUCGGAUGGGCUUGCGGCCUAUCAGGUAGAUGGUGGGGUAACGGCCUACCAAGGCAUCGAUCGGUAGCUGGUCUGAGAGGACGACCAGCCACACUGGGACUGAGACACGGCCCAGACUCCUACGGGAGGCUGCAGCGACGAAUCUUCCGCAAUGCACGAAAGUGUGACGGAGCAAUGCCGCGUGCGGGAUGAAGCGGCUUCGCCGUGUAAACCGCUGUCAGGACCCAGAAAGAGCUGAUCGGGUCCAGAGGAAGGGCCGGCUAAGCUCGUGCCAGCAGCCGCGGUAAUUC